ACGGAGAGGGGAAUGAAAUAAUAGCGGCAGGAGGGAGGAGGCCGAUUUUUGCAAAACGACUACUGGGUACCAGAUGUGCCGUGCUCAGUGUUUUUUGAAGUUCGGGACGGGGGGGGGGGGGAAUAGAAUU
ensembl:ncRNA F10D7.9 ncRNA